CAGUAGCCACGGUAAUACGAAGGGGGCUAGCGUUGCUCGGAAUCACUGGGCGUAAAGGGUGCGUAGGCGGGUUUUUAAGUCAGAGGUGAAAUCCUGGAGCUCAACUCCAGAACUGCCUUUGAUACUGAAAGUCUUGAGUAUGGGAGAGGUGAGUGGAACUGCGAGUGUAGAGGUGAAAUUCGUAGAUAUUCGCAAGAACACCAGUGGCGAAGGCGGCUCACUGGCCCAUAACUGACGCUGAGGCACGAAAGCGUGGGGAGCAAACAGGAUUAGAUACCCGAGUAGUCCCUGUCUCUUAUAA
rnacentral:rRNA from 1 species